UACGGAGGGUGCAAGCGUUAUCCGGAUUCACUGGGUUUAAAGGGUGCGUAGGUGGGAAUGUAAGUCAGUGGUGAAAUCUCCGUGCUUAACAUGGAAACUGCCAUUGAUACUAUGUUUCUUGAAUUUUCUGGAGGUCAGCGGAAUAUGUCAUGUAGCGGUGAAAUGCUUAGAUAUGACAUAGAACACCAAUUGCGAAGGCAGCUCACUAAGCAGACAUUGACGCUGAGGCACGAAAGCGUGGGGAUCAAACAGG
rnacentral:rRNA from 1 species